UACGUAGGGUGCGAGCGUUGUCCGGAAUUAUUGGGCGUAAAGGGCUCGUAGGCGGUUUGUCGCGUCGGGAGUGAAAACACUGGGCUUAACUCAGUGCUUGCUUCCGAUACGGGCAGACUAGAGGUAUUCAGGGGAGAACGGAAUUCCUGGUGUAGCGGUGAAAUGCGUAGAUAUCUGGAGGAAUACCGGUGGCGAAGGCGGCAUCCUGGACCGGCAUUGACGCUGAGGAGCGAAAGCCAGGGGAGCAAACGGG
rnacentral:rRNA from 1 species